rfam:Schistocephalus solidus strain NST_G2 genome assembly, scaffold: SSLN_scaffold0002915
GGUGCCGUGGUGUAGUGGUUAUCACGUCUGCCUAACACGCAGAAGGUCCCCAGUUCGAAACUGGGCGGUGCCA